GAUGAACGCUGGCGGCGUGCCUAAUACAUGCAAGUCGAGCGAACAGACGAGGAGCUUGCUCCUCUGACGUUAGCGGCGGACGGGUGAGUAACACGUGGAUAACCUACCUAUAAGACUGGGAUAACUUCGGGAAACCGGAGCUAAUACCGGAUAAUAUAUUGAACCGCAUGGUUCAAUAGUGAAAGACGGUUUUGCUGUCACUUAUAGAUGGAUCCGCGCCGCAUUGGCUAGUUGGUAAGGUAACGGCUUACCAAGGCAACGAUGCGUAGCCGACCUGAGAGGGUGAUCGGCCACACUGGAACUGAGACACGGUCCAGACUCCUACGGGAGGCAGCAGUAGGGAAUCUUCCGCAAUGGGCGAAAGCUUGACGGAGCAACGCCGCGUGAGUGAUGAAGGUCUUCGGAUCGUAAAACUCUGUUAUUAGGGAAGAACAAAUGUGUAAGUAACUAUGCACGUCCUGACGGUACCUAAUCAGAAAGCCACGGCUAACUACGUG
rnacentral:rRNA from 1 species